GCUGGCGGCGUGCCUAACACAUGCAAGUCGAACGAGAAAGUGGAGCAAUCCAUGAGUAAAGUGGCGACCGGGUGAGUAACACGUGACCAACCUACCCUCGAGUGGGGAACAACCUCGGGAAACCGGGGCUAAUACCGCAUAAUGUCUUUGGGGUGCAAUUCCCUGGGGAUCAAAGGAGCAAUUCGCUUGAGGAGGGGGUCGCGGCUGAUUAGCUAGUUGGCGGGGUAAUGGCCCACCAAGGCGAAGAUCGGUAGCCGGCCUGAGAGGGCGCACGGCCACACUGGAACUGAAACACGGUCCAGACUCCUACGGGAGGCAGCAGUGGGGAAUUUUGCGCAAUGGGGGAAACCCUGACGCAGCAACGCCGCGUGGAGGAUGAAGUCCUUUGGGACGUAAACUCCUUUCGACCGGGACGAUAAUGACGGUACCGGUGGAAGAAGCCCCGGCUAACUCUGUGCCAGCAGCCGCGGUAAUACAGGGGGGGCGAGCGUUGUUCGGAAUUAUUGGGCGUAAAGGGCGCGUAGGCGGUGCGGUAAGUCACCUGUGAAACCUCUGGGCU
rnacentral:rRNA from 1 species